GAAAGAGAGAUGGAUAAGGGAUUUAGGGGACUGAAUGAGCCUUUGACAGCCUGGUAUAAUUUCCUGACCCUAUUAGGAUGGGCUGUUCAUUAGAGAUGAAAGUUACUUGGACGAUAAACAUCCAUAUGUAAGAGCUAAGCAGAUAGGUGUAGGUAAGAAAUAGAGAAGAAAGCAUGUUUAGAUAUAAGAGAAGUUUGGAUACUUUGUGCAGUGGCAGAAGUCAUUAUUGAAACUUAAGGAUGCCAAUUAUGACCCUUUGAAUUGUACGAAGGCCAGAGAGAGGCUUUAAUAAAAUUGGAGUCUGUGGAGGAAGAGAGGAAGGGUCUCCAAGUGAACUCCACUGGAGGGACUUUCUACAAGCUCCAAGUGGGAGCGGAGAGACAGGGGGACAAGGUUGCAGAGGCCCAGAUGGGCUUAAGGAAGCUGUGGGGACUUAGGAAGCAGCUCCUGGGGGGCGGGGAGGAGGCCAGAAAACAGGGAUGGUUCCAAUAGUUGCCCACAUGGUGUGGCCCUGUAGGGUGCAGCAGGUUAGAGGAGCCAGUGAGAGGACAUUUACCAAGUAGGUGAGGAGAGAUGGAUGGCUAGAGCAGGUGGAGGAAGAAGAAGCUGAAGGAUUUGGAACCAAAUAUGAUGGGUAGCAGAAGCCAGCAGAAACAAAUGGUCUGUACACAUCUUAAGAGUCAAAUCAGCAUCGUGAAUCAUUUUGAAAUGUUGAGACAUGGGCACUAGGGGCUGAAGGGAAACUGCCUCUGAGUUGAUAAGUUGGAGAUGCUGAACCAAGCGAGGAAUGAGAGGGAGAAGUGCGUCCCCAAAACUCCAUCAGGACCAAAGAAGUGGCCCAGUGUCCAGAAGGAAGGGGAUGAACCACCAUGAUACUGGGAUAACUACCUGAGGCUCCCUGUCAGAGAUAUGACAAGUCCGGAUUCUGCCAGGAUCAGAGAAACUUCCUAUCAGAAGUGGAUGGUUAAUACAGAGAUUCUUAAGCAUUCAAAGUGCUGAGGAUAAGUGGGUACUAUGUCUGGAUACCUAAAUAUGACACCCAUUACAUCAUCUCCAAGACCCAGAAAAUACUGGGAGGAGAGGGGCAAACGUUCCAAGAUCCAGAGGAGCAGUGUCAUCAAGACCUGCAUACAAAAAAGAGCAAAAAAGGAUGGUGGCUGGGUGUAGUGAGUCCCUUUAAUCCCAGAACUUGGCAGGCAGAGCCAGGCAGAUCUCUGUGAGUUCGAGGCCAGCCUGGUCUACAGAACGAAAUCCAUGACAGGCACCAAAAAUACACUGAGAAACCCUGUCUCAAAAUAAAUAAAUAAAUAAAUAAAUGAAAAAGAAAAAAAGCUUACAAGCUUCAGGUGCAUAAUUGAUGGUCUUUUUGUUUUCUUUUUUGGCAGGGUCUCUCUGCAGAGUUCUGGAUGUCCUGGAACUCACUAUGUACACCAGGCUGACCUCAAACUCACAGAGAACUGCCUCCAAAAUGCUGAGAGUAAAUGUGUGUACCAGCACAUCCAGCUG